UUGACCUCGGAUCAGGUAGGGAUACCCGCUGAACUUAAGCAUAUCAAUAAGCGGAGGAAAAGAAACCAACAGGGAUUGCCCCAGUAACGGCGAGUGAAGCGGCAAGAGCUCAAAUUUGAAAUCUGGCCUCCCUUGGGGGGUCCGAGUUGUAAUUUGUAGAGGAUGCUUCGGGUGUGGCCGCCGUCUAAGUUCCUUGGAACAGGACGUC
rnacentral:rRNA from 1 species